GACGAACGCUGGCGGCGUGCCUAAUACAUGCAAGUCGAACGCAUUUUCUUUCACCGUAGCUUGCUACACCGACAGAAAAUGAGUGGCGAACGGGUGAGUAACACGUGGGUAACCUGCCCAUCAGCGGGGGAUAACACUUGGAAACAGGUGCUAAUACCGCAUAAUUCCAUUUACUGCAUGGUAGAUGGAUGAAAGGCGCUUUUGCGUCACUGAUGGAUGGACCCGCGGUGCAUUAGCUAGUUGGUGGGGUAACGGCCUACCAAGGCUGCGAUGCAUAGCCGACCUGAGAGGGUGAUCGGCCACGCUGGGACGGAGACACGGCCCAGACUCCUACGGGAGGCAGCAGUAGGGAAUCUUCGGCAAUGGACGCAAGUCUGACCGAGCAACGCCGCGUGAGUGAAGAAGGUUUUCGGAUCGUAAAACUCUGUUGUUAGAAAAGAACAAGGAUGAGAGUGGAAAGUUCAUCCCUUGACGGUAUCUAACCAGAAAGCCACGGCUAACUACGUG
rnacentral:rRNA from 1 species